GGGAAGGGGAAGGGGAAGGGGAAGGGGAAGGGAGGGAGGGAGGGAGGGAGGGGGAAGGGGAAGGAGCGCCAGGUGAGAGAGGCGGUCGCCGGCUCUGUUGAGGCGGUGGUACAGGCGCCGUCGCUGUGACCAGAGACCAAUUCAUCCUGAAAAAAGGGGCUCCAACAGACCAGAUUUAGCGCUCGCGGUCGUCCCCCGAGGUUGAGGCGGCUGAAUCUGACGGGGGCCACCAUCUCCCUCUGCCGCCCCUGCCGAAGAAACCGGGCCGCGGACGCCCCGGCGAAGUGGCUCGCCUCCCCACCGCCACUUUGGAUUGGUUCCCUCUUUGGCCGCCCACGGUUGUGACAUCAUGCACUUGGAGAUGUACACAUGUAUGUAUCAUAUCAUAUGAAGCCAACUUCUUGAACAAUUUUUUAAAAUUCAUGUAAACACUUGAAGAAUGCCAGGAUCGAGCAAGGUACCUGGUGCUGUAGAGCAAGGGCAUAAUCCAGGUCGAGAAAGAUGGCAUCAAGGUGCAACUAUCGCUGGGACGGCCUUGAGGGUGCAGUUGCCAGCGACAUGUACGCUGAUGAUGUACAUGGAUUUUGGAUUGAGAAGGACCCUAUGUAGAAGGUAGUGGCCCGGUCUACUGGUUGCAGUAAGAUGAUAUCUUACAUGUUAGAUACUUUUUCUCAGUUGUUGUGUCCAGUGAAACUACUUUUGUGAGCAGUGGCUAUCAUCCCUACAUGACUUGAAGCUGAUGGAUUUGUUCCUUUGUGCAAAACUGUUUGGUGAUGCUAUAUGAUUCCUCAUAUGAGAAGGAAAAUGAUGAUGAUGAUGGCUACAGAUAUGGACACCUGCAUACAUAUGGGAUGUUUCCUCCGUCAAUGCCGUCCUUUAAUCCAGUUAAUGAUGCUGAAGUUUUCAAUGGCUUUGGCACUGCAUACAUAUGGGAUGUUUCCUCCGUCAAUGCUGUCCUCUAAUCCAGUUAAUGAUGCUGAAGUUUUUAAUGGCUUUGGCAUGCAAAGCCAUCCAAAUGUGGAAAAUAGAUCUCUUGGUUGCAAUGAGGGAGUUGUAUAUGAAGAAGCUCUACAGAACUUUUAUGCAGCAUAUCAGUCAAGAAACAAAGGAAGAUCUGUCUCAAGCAGGAUUUAAUCGAUGGAGUUCCGCUGCUAAAGGACGUGAGAGGCAGUCCCAUCAUUGGAAGUUUACUGUUUGAAUCGCAAGGAUCUGGGAUUACAUAAGCACAUACUUUACUGAAUUCUAUAGUUCUAUUCGUUGGCACAUCGGUUGAUCAAUUUUGAGGUAAAGCGAAGUUGUUAUCCGAAAAAUACUUACCUACUUAAAAAAGGUCCAAAUAGAAAAAAUGUUGAUUUUCAGGUAUGCUAGCAUUCAAAUCUACUUCGGACACCAGAUCACACAUCAAAAUUUUGAUACCUGAAAUGAUAGCUUCAGAAGAAGGGUAUCAAAAUAGAUUCAUGGUCUCUUUGCUUAGUUCUAUGCUUCUCAAAAUGCUUUAGUAUAUGCCCAUAGUAUCAUAGUACGAAUUGUUCUGUGAGCAGUUUCCUUUGUCUACCAUCAGGGAUAGUAAUUCAUUCGGUAAUCUGAUACGUAUAUGUUCUGCAUUUCUGACUGAAAUAAUGGUAAGUUUGGCUUUGGCAAUUGGUGUGUGUAGUUUUUUCAGUUGAUAUAAUUUGAUCAUGCUGAAGGCAAGAUAUACAUCAUGGUUGCUUCACGUAGCUUAAAGGUCCUGGGUCAGUGUUAAAUGUGAAAUAGCUUCACCGGGCAAGUUGUUUCACUUCUUUACAUUCAAGAGUUAAAACCAGGGACGAAGCACAAUCAGACACUCUGUUUUUGCAAAAUAUUUUCUACCUUCCUCUGUCGUUGAAGUGUAUUGGCUUUCUUUCUUACAAUACAAAACUGAAAAGUAUUGUUUAAUAAACUAUAAUAGAAUUUUUCUAAGGUGGAGAUGAGAAAAUUUGUGAACAAGAUAGAACACAGUCAGUAUGGUAUCUGUGUUUCUUAAUCAAGGUCCUGAAUUUAGCUUGAUGAACUAUCAAUUCAAAUAGAUCAAAGAACAAUGGUUAUAACUUUUGUAGGGCAUUCUGUCCUGGAAAUACAAUUGUUGAUAGAUCUGCUUUCCUGCGAUCAAGAGACAAAGAAAACUGGAACGAAGCAAUCCUGUUACUGAAUUUUCGUAUAUAUACGUGCGUCAUCCCUCAAGAGGAGAACUCUUAGUCAGAGUCGAACUCUGCAUCCUCUCCGCCUUCCCUAACCCCUCUCAUAAAUAUCGUCUUCGGUGGCUUGGGGGAGAGGAGCGGAGUGGGGUGUGGAUCCCGUGGAUGCGGACGAGAGAAGCAAAACAUUGAUGUCGGCGGCAAGGGCCUUUCCGAGACUCCGAACGUGCUGCUUGACAGAACCUGGGCAUGUGCAACGAAGGCUCGCCGCCGUCGGGAUCCGGCCACCACGGGCUCCCAGCGUCAGAUCCGUAGGUACCGGAACCAAUCUUGCAGGCUCCGUUGGUUUCUCUCGGAGCAAGUGACGCCAUUGGGAUCCGGCUACCACGAGCUCCCCAGGGUUGGAUCCGUCUGUCCUGGAGCCGACCCUGCACCCUGUGCUCCUUUCUCUAGGAGCAAGCAAGCGAUUGCCGCUGUGCUCCUUUCUCUAGGAGCAAGCAAGCGAUUGCCGCAGCAGCGGCGCGAGGGAGCGAGCUCUGCCUUGAGGUGCCACUGGGGCAGACAACCACGAGCUCCUCCACCACCAUCUGAUCCCCUACCCGGGUUCAUCUGCUCAUCUGCACCGUUAUGGCGGCUAGCAUCAGUACCUCUCUAUCCUCCUCACCAGUUACGUCACACACCGAUAUCAAUAGGGACUGUACCUAGCUUCGUUCCGACGCGUGGAGGCCCACCCCGUACUGCACUGUUGCAAGGACAAACCAACCCAGGAGGAGGCAAAUAAUGUUGUCAAGCAAACGCACAUAGUACUAUAGGGUCUGAUCACUUCCUGUGUGUACAUUGGUACUGAGUUCAGAAUGCAUGCCAUCCAACUCAUGCAUCAUAUAUAAGUGAUGGCAUGCUGUUGCCGAAUUGUGAACCAUACAUCUACAAAGAAAAUCAUGGGAAACUUCCUUCCGUGUAAAUUGUGUUUGUACAGAUCGACUGCAGCUGUGGUAUGUAUUGCAGAGGGUUGUACAUACAUAUUUUCAAGGGGAGUAAAAGGGCAGUUGUUGUCAA